ensembl:lncRNA
CUACAGGCUACAGGAGCAGAGCAGAAGCGGGGCUGGCCACAUGAACCUCGUAAAAAAGAAACGGACUGUGGUUCAUCCAACUAAGAUGCGUGAGACUCUAAAGGGACAUGAAGAACAGGAUCAGAGACGGUAUCCGAAAAUUCUUUUGUGGAAUAAAACGUGCUGGAAGUCUUUGGAGGCUUUUAAACCCAACCUUCCCGGCCCCUUUUCUCUUUUUUAGCAGCCCUUCUCCCAGAAACAGUCUAUUGCACCUGAACUUGAAAAGGUUCCACUCCUAUUUGUAACUCAGUGACCCUGAGGCCCAAAUUGGUAUUGAACUUUCUGAAAAAGCGC